GUAGUUAGGAUUUAAAGCCUAACUAGCUAGACGCACGUAGUCGUAACUGAAAGGUUGAUCGACCACAGUGGGCCUGAAUAAAGCCCAUGACGAUUGUCACAGCAGUGAGGAAUAUUGGUCAAUAGCCUAACGGCUGAACCAGCAACUUGGAGGAAUGUAUAGCAAUAGCUACUUGCAUCAUUGCAAUAUGAUGCAAGAUUGACUAUGUCGAAUAAAAUUCUAGGUAGAAUUAUGAUAAUGACAUUGUCUGCCUAUGUGUCUUGACCAAAUUACGUGCCAGCAGUCGCGGUAAUACGUAGAAGACUAGUGUUAUUCAUGUUUAAUCGGUUUAAAGGGUACCUAGACGGUAAAUCAAGCCUAAAUAGAAACAAAUGAAGGGACUAAUUUACUAGAGUUACUUAUGAGGGGGUAUUAAAGUACUGCUGGUGUAGAGAUGAAAUCUGUCAUACCUCUUUUCAAUAGAAAAAUAAUGGCACAGGUAUAGGCGAAGGCAUCCCCUUAUGUGAUAACUGACGUUGAGGGACGAAGGCUUUGUGUAGCGAACAGGAUUAGAUACCCCAGUAGUCAAAGCAGAAAAUGAUGAAUGUCAUAGAUUAGAUGUAUAAGUUUAUUCUAUAAAUGAAAGUGUAAGCAUUCCACCUCAAGAGUAAUUUGGCAACAUUGGAACUGAAAUCAUUAGACCGUUUCUGAAACCGUAGUGAAGUAUGUUGUUUAAUUUGAUGAUCCGCAAAAAACCUUACCACAAUUUGAAUAUUUAUAUCUUUUAUUG
rnacentral:rRNA from 1 species